rnacentral:lncRNA from 10 species
GCUUCCCAUCGGACCACCAGGCCAGGCGCGCACGCACUGCAGCCCAGCUGCGGCCAGAUGCCACGGCCUCUGCGUUCUGUGGCCAAGGCUCAGAGGCCAAGUUACAGCGCCGGGUCAGGAAAUGGCAUGAAAUCAGCAGCAGCGGCAGCGUUGUUCUCUUUCAGCGGCUACCAAGCCAAAGCCCAGUGGAAAGCACUAUCGCCGCUAACACCACCACACGAUCACCAGCAACAGCAGCACCGCCGCCGCCACCACCGGGGCACCGCUGCCAGACUACACUUCCCGAAAGGAAAUCUCCUCUGUCACGCCCUUCUCCAGAAUCCGCGAUGACUCCUCCCAGGGUGGCAGGCCUGUUGGAGUCUAAAUUCUUCAAUGUGACAUCCAUCUAAGGCCCUGAGUGGUCUGACCUUACUUAAUUCUUCAUCUGUAAUGACUCGUCCUCCCCAGCCCCGCAUAAGCACAGGUAGAGUCUGUAGGGUUUACCGCCCCGAUACACCCCUUUAAUCACUCUGGCCUGUGAGACUCCUCAUGCCAUUUGCCCUCCCGGUCUAUCUCCUUCUACCGGAUCUAUCCAGAACCAGGUACCCUGGACGCAUUCUGUGAAAUUUAGCACAUUGAGAAGUGACUGUGUGUGGGGUCCUGUGCCUGAUGAUCGGGACACAAAGAUAAAUGGCCAUGCUUCUCUUAGCCUCCACAGACGGUUCCUUUUUAGUCUGCUCCUCAAAUACUGAUGCUUCGCAGGGUUUCAUAUAUGGGCAUUUUCUUGUCUAAUGUUUGUCCUCUGCCUGAGGACUUUCCCAUAGCUUUAACUCUGAAUCAAGGCUGGCGACUACAGAAAUUUACAUUGCUAGACCCUGUCUCUCUUCUGCAACUUAGACUGUACUCCAAGAGGAGCCCAGAAUACUACCUGAGUGUCCUACAAGUAC